UCGGGCGGGUAGCAUUUAUUAGAUUGAAACCAAUGCAGUCUUCGCGCGUUGUGUAUUGUGUUGAGUCAUAAUAACUGUGCGGAUCGCGCUUUUGCGCGAUAAAUCGAUUGAGUUUCUGCCCUAUCAG